AUGACCGCGACUUACUUUGUCCGUGUCAACAAACAAUUCAAAAUACCUCGACUUUUUCAGAACAGGUCCGAGUCAAAUAGCAAUGAUUCGAAGCACUUCUUUUUCCAUUACACUAUUUCAGAAACCUAA
rnacentral:rRNA from 1 species